UGAGUACCAAAUUGAGAAGUUUACUGGCCGGUUUUUGUUUUGCUGUCGACAUAUCUGCUUACUGAACUUCUUACAUUU
rnacentral:snoRNA from 1 species